rnacentral:sRNA from 1 species
AUUUACUGCAUGCACUACCAAAUUUUGAAUUAUUUUCGUUUCGCAAAGUCUGGACAAUUAAAGUUUACUCACUCGCCAAAUCUGAAACAGCUGUCUACUUGCACUUGGCUCCUGCUUCUGGAAUAUUAUGCGGUUCGCAUAGCAAGUCCAUUUACAAUGACUAAUCCCGCCCCAAACAAAAAUAUUGCAAGUGGCACAGAAAGUGGGUCGGAAACCUUUGUCUUAGUGCGGGUGUAAUUUACAUAAGUGACUUUAUGAAUACCCUUAGUGGAGCGUAUGUAAAUAAAACUGGAACUAUAUACAAUUUUUGUAUUA